UGGCAGUGUGAGUAAGAGGAGGAUGAAGAUUUGCCCAGAGAGGAGUAGAAUUGAAAAGUGCCCCAGUAAGCGCUGAUAAUCACAUAAAAUGAGAGAUGUCAGAAAGAGAAUGCAAAAUUAAGGAAAGUAGGUUUGGCUCAGCAUUAUUUUUAGUUUCUGGAUCAUCAAUUUCUUUCAACAUCAUGAAUUCUGCAGAACACUGGCUUUUAUGUCGUAGUGGUGCAAAACAUUCCACAUUAUAGUUUCUUUUCUUUUCUUUUAAUUUCAGAGAGAAAUAUGAAUACUUAUUUCUAUGCCAAAAAGAAAGAACAAAAGAAAGAGCCAAAUGAGUCAAAAUAUUUAUGAAACCAUUGCCUGGCACUCCAAUUCGCGGAAUGGAAAUGGCAACUACUAUUUUCUCAAAUGAAAAGGUUUAUGGCUGUCUUAAUGUGAUGAAAGCUCAAGGGCUCUGCCGUUAUUUCUUCUCUAGCCUCCCUAUAGCGUUUCCUUGAAUGAUGG